UACGUAGGCAGCAAACGUUGUUCGGAAUUACUGGGCGUAAAGCGCGCGUAGGCGGAUUUGCAAGUCGGGGGUGAAAGCCCGAGGCUCAACCUCGGAACUGCCUUCGAUACUGCAAAUCUCGAGUCCGAGAGAGGUGAGUGGAAUUCCUAAGUGUAGAGGUGAAAUUCGUAGAUAUUAGGAAGAACACCAGUGGCGAAGGCGGCUCACUGGCUCGGUACUGACGCUGAGGCGCGAAAGCGUGGGGAGCAAACAGGG
rnacentral:rRNA from 1 species